UACGUAGGGUGCGAGCGUUAAUCGGAAUUACUGGGCGUAAAGCGCACGUAGGCGGGUCGUUAAGUCGGGGGUGAAAUCCUGGAGCUCAACUCCAGAACUGCCCUCGAAACUGGCGAUCUUGAGUUCGGGAGAGGUGAGUGGAACUGCGAGUGUAGAGGUGAAAUUCGUAGAUAUUCGCAAGAACACCAGUGGCGAAGGCGGCUCACUGGCCCGAUACUGACGCUGACGGUGCGAAAGCGUGGGGAGCAAAGCAGGG
rnacentral:rRNA from 1 species